AGGGCCCUGGGCUGGAACCCAGAGUAGAGGGCGGACCUGGGUUCCCCCUAAACCUCCCAACUCCUGAUCAAACAGAGGAGGAAUUGAUCUGGACUGAAGGAAAGGUCUCUGGCCUCUACCAGAGGGGGAGG